GUGCGGAAGAUGUUGACUGAGAUCUGAAGAAUAUAAAGGAGGAGGAAGAAAAAUGGAUCCGUGAGGAAUAAAAAACUAACCUUCAGGCAUCUGCAGGAAAUACAGUCGACCCACGAGGAAGAGCUGGAGAGAUGAAACAGCAGAAGUACGAGGACUCAGAAAGGACAACAAUGGCAACAUUUUUCAGAGAUGUGUGGGUGAAUUCUCGAACUACGGAGGAAGACGACGAGGAUCUUGACGAAAAUGAGGAUGAGGAGCAAAUUCGCAAAGAACUGGAGGAAGAGGGAAGACACGUGGCUCGUCCAGGAGAGACACACUUGAAGACAGAGACACUGGGGUUCUUGAGGACAGAGAUGAUGAUGUUCCUGAGGACAGACACUGGGGUUCUUCAGGAUAAAGACAAUCUGGUCCCUGAGGACUGAGACACUGAACAUCAUCAGGACCGAGACAAUGGGGUCCCUGAGGACUGAGACACUGGUGAUCUUGAGGACAGAGCCUGAGAUUCCUGAGGACAGACACUGUGGUUCUUCAGGACUGAGACAUUCUGGUCCCUGAGGACCGAGACACUGAAGAUCAUCAGGACAAAGAUAUUCUGGUCCCUGAGGACAGAGACACUGAACAUCAUCAGGACAAAAACAUUCUGGUCCCUGAGGACUGAGACACCAAAGAUCAUCAGGACAAAGACAAAACCGGUCCCUUAGGACUGAGACACUGAACAUCAUCAGGACAGAGACAAUGGGGUCUCUUCUGAGACACCGAAGAUCAUCAGGACAAAGACAUUCUGGUUCCUGAGGACAUACACACUGGUGAUCUUGAGGACAGAGACACUGGUGAUCUUGAGGACAGAGACACUGGUGAUCUUGAGGACAGAGACACUGAACAUCAUCAGGACAGAGACAAUGAGGUCUCUUCUGAGACACCGAAGAUCAUCAGGACAAAGACAUUCUGGUCCCUGAGGACUGAGACACUGGUGAUCUUGAGGACAGAGACACUGGUGAUCUUGUGGACAGAGACACUGGUGAUCUUGAGGACAGAGACACUGGUGAUCUUGAGGACAUACACACUGUGAUCUUGAGGACAGAG